rnacentral:rRNA from 1 species
AGCUGUAAGAAUACGCGGAGGAGGUGGCCCGGGUCGGUGUCGCCGUCCGGCGCGGGCCACGGGCCCGCUUCCAAGUGCGUCUGCGCGCGGGCCACCCACGCCGGGUCUUUCAAGUGCCGCUUCCACCGCAACAACUCCUAGGGCCACGGCCACGGCCACAACCAGGGUCAGGGAAGCCACCCCUUUUCGCCCCCUUCACCGGCCGCGGCCAACGCGGUGCCGCGGCAGCCGGCCUCGCCGUCCUUGUCCUUCGGCACCGUCGCGACCCAGUGA